GCACAAUAGGCGCUCCAUAAUUCCAUAAUUAAUUAGGUUUCCUAGGUACCCCGAGACUGGAAGAGGGUGUCCCUGUGGACACAAAUAUUACAAAGAGUAACAGUGCCUGCCCUGAAGGAGGACUGUCAGGAGCACUGAAUGGAGAAGCCAUUUGCCAUGUGAUACCCUGGUUGCCAUGGAACUCUGUAGACUAAGAAGGCCCUCACCAGAUGUGCCCCCCAGACUGUGGACUUCCCAGCCUCUGAACUCUGGCCAGUACAGGGAUCUAAACCUUUGACCUUGGUGUUACCAGCACCACGUCAUAAUGUUUUUAUGUUGAUAAUGCUGAUAUGACAGUAUUUUGGAUAUAUGGUUAAAUAAAAUAUAUUAUUAAGAUUAA